GGGGAAUCUUGGACAAUGGGGGCAACCCUGAUCCAGCCAUGCCGCGUGAGCGAUGAAGGCCCUAGGGUUGUAAAGCUCUUUCAGCGGGGAAGAUAAUGACGGUACCCGCAGAAGAAGCCCCGGCUAACUCCGUGCCAGCAGCCGCGGUAAUACGGAGGGGGCUAGCGUUGUUCGGAAUUACUGGGCGUAAAGCGCACGUAGGCGGAUCAGCCAGUCAGGGGUGAAAUCCCGGGGCUCAACCCCGGAACUGCCCUUGAUACUGCUGGUCUGGAGUUCGAGAGAGGCGAGUGGAAUUCCGAGUGUAGAGGUGAAAUUCGUAGAUAUUCGGAGGAACACCAGUGGCGAAGGCGGCUCGCUGGCUCGACACUGACGCUGAGGUGCGAAAGCGUGGGGAGCAAAC
rnacentral:rRNA from 1 species